rnacentral:rRNA from 1 species
AUUGAACGCUGGCGGCAGGCUUAACACAUGCAAGUCGAGCGGAGAGAGGUAGCUUGCUACUGAUCUUAGCGGCGGACGGGUGAGUAAUGCUUAGGAAUCUGCCUAUCAGUGGGGGACAACAUUUCGAAAGGAAUGCUAAUACCGCAUACGUCCUACGGGAGAAAGCAGGGGAUCUUCGGACCUUGCGCUAAUAGAUGAGCCUAAGUCGGAUUAGCUAGUUGGUGGGGUAAAGGCCUACCAAGGCGACGAUCUGUAGCGGGUCUGAGAGGAUGAUCCGCCACACUGGGACUGAGACACGGCCCAGACUCCGACGGGAGGCAGCAGUGGGGAAUAUUGGACAAUGGGCGGAAGCCUGAUCCAGCCAUGCCGCGUGUGUGAAGAAGGCCUUAUGGUUGUAAAGCACUUUAAGCGAGGAGGAGGCUACUUUAGUUAAUACCUAGAGAUAGUGGACGUUACUCGCAGAAUAAGCACCGGCUAACUCUGUGCCAGCCGCCGCGGUAAUAC